rnacentral:rRNA from 1 species
CUACGGGGUGCUGCAGUGGGGAAUAUUGCACAAUGGGCGAAAGCCUGAUGCAGCAACGCCGCGUGGAGGAUGACACAUUUCGGUGCGUAAACUCCUUUUAUAUAAGAAGAUAAUGACGGUAUUAUAUGAAUAAGCACCGGCUAACUCCGUGCCAGCAGCCGCGGUAGUAAGGGGGGUGCAAGCGUUACUCGGAAUCACUGGGCGUAAAGAGCAUGUAGGCUGGAUGACAAGUUGGAAGUGAAAUCCUAUGGCUUAACCAUAGAACUGCUUCCAAAACUGUCUUCCUAGAGUAUGGGAGAGGUAGAUGGAAUGUCUGGUGUAGGGGUAAAAUCCGUAGAGAUCAGAAGGAAUACCGAUUGCGAAGGCGAUCUACUGGAACAUUACUGACGCUCAGAUGCGAAAGCGUGGGGAGCAAACAGGAUUAGAUACCCGGGUAGUC